rnacentral:ncRNA from 1 species
GUUUCAGGGCGGGGUGAAAUUCCCCACCGGCGGUGAGCAGCCAAGCGCUGUACAGCCCGCGACCAUCCGGCAUCUGCCGGGUGCUGAUUCGGUGAAAUUCCGAAGCCGACGGUAUAGUCCGGAUGGAAGAAA